rnacentral:lncRNA from 1 species
CUUUGUAUAUAGAUGCCUCAUGUUACGAAGUUUCUGUCAGUCACAUGUCCAAUGUCCUUGACCUCAUUUUCAUGGUUCAGUGACCACUUGAAAAAAAAGUUCAGAAUUUUUGUAAUGUUGAAUUCUCUCUUAUUAUAAGUAAUAGGAUAACUAUAUUUGGUAUGUGCGUACCUUGCAAGGUCCUCAUACCCGUCAGACAGUUUUCACUUGACCUCGACCUCAUUUCAUGGAUCAGUGAACAAGGUUAAGUUUUGGUGGUCAAGUCCAUAUCUCUUAUACUAUAAGCAAUAGGGC